rnacentral:rRNA from 1 species
UACGGAGGGUGCAAGCGUUAUCCGGAUUCACUGGGUUUAAAGGGUGCGUAGGUGGGUUGGUAAGUCAGUGGUGAAAUCCCCGAGCUUAACUCGGAAACUGCCAUUGAUACUAUAGGUCUUGAAUUCGGUCGAGGUUGGCGGAAUGUGUCGUGUAGCGGUGAAAUGCUUAGAUAUGACACAGAACACCGAUUGCGAAGGCAGCUAGCUAGACCGACAUUGACGCUGAGGCACGAAAGCGUGGGGAUCAAACAGG